CCUACGGGUGGCAGCAGUGAGGAAUAUUGGUCAAUGGACGAGAGUCUGAACCAGCCAAGUAGCGUGAAGGAUGACUGCCCUAUGGGUUGUAAACUUCUUUUAUAUGGGAAUAAAAUGUUCCACGUGUGGGAUUUUGUAUGUACCAUAUGAAUAAGGAUCGGCUAACUCCGUGCCAGCAGCCGCGGUAAUACGGAGGAUACGAGCGUUAUCCGGAUUUAUUGGGUUUAAAGGGAGCGUAGGUGGAUUGUUAAGUCAGUUGUGAAAGUUUGCGGCUCAACCGUAGAAUUGCAGUUGAAACUGGCAGUCUUGAGUACAGUAGAGGUGGGCGGAAUUCGUGGUGUAGCGGUGAAAUGCUUAGAUAUCACGAAGAACUCCGAUUGCGAAGGCAGUUCACUGGACUGCAACUGACGCUGAGGCGCGAAAGUGUGGGUAUCAAACAGGAUUAGAUACCCGGGUAGUC
rnacentral:rRNA from 1 species